rnacentral:rRNA from 1 species
UACGAAGGGGGCUAGCGUUGUUCGGAAUUACUGGGCGUAAAGCGCACGUAGGCGGAUUUGUUAGUCAGGGGUGAAAUCCCGGGGCUCAACCUCGGAACUGCCUUUGAUACUGCAAGUCUUGAGUCCGGAAGAGGUGAGUGGAAUUCCUAGUGUAGAGGUGAAAUUCGUAGAUAUUAGGAAGAACACCAGUGGCGAAGGCGGCUCACUGGUCCGGUACUGACGCUGAGGUGCGAAAGCGUGGGGAGCAAAC